AAGUCGAACGGGAAAUAUUUCAUUGAGACUUCGGUGGAUUUGAUCUAUUUCUAGUGGCGGACGGGUGAGUAACGCGUGGGUAACCUGCCUUAUACAGGGGGAUAACAGUCAGAAAUGGCUGCUAAUACCGCAUAAGCGCACAGAGCUGCAUGGCUCAGUGUGAAAAACUCCGGUGGUAUAAGAUGGACCCGCGUUGGAUUAGCUUGUUGGUGGGGUAACGGCCCACCAAGGCGACGAUCCAUAGCCGGCCUGAGAGGGUGAACGGCCACAUUGGGACUGAGACACGGCCCAGACUCCUACGGGAGGCAGCAGUGGGGAAUAUUGCACAAUGGGGGAAACCCUGAUGCAGCGACGCCGCGUGAAGGAAGAAGUAUCUCGGUAUGUAAACUUCUAUCAGCAGGGAAGAUAGUGACGGUACCUGACUAAGAAGCCCCGGCUAACUACGUGCCAGCAGCCGCGGUAAUACGUAGGGGGCAAGCGUUAUCCGGAUUUACUGGGUGUAAAGGGAGCGUAGACGGUGUGGCAAGUCUGAUGUGAAAGGCAUGGGCUCAACCUGUGGACUGCAUUGGAAACUGUCAUACUUGAGUGCCGGAGGGGUAAGCGGAAUUCCUAGUGUAGCGGUGAAUGCGUAGAUAUUAGGAGGACACCAGUGGCGAAGGCGGCUUACUGG
rnacentral:rRNA from 1 species